AGAGUUGGAUCCUGUUUCAGCACGAACGCUGGCGGCAGGCCUGACACAUGCAAGUCGAGCGCAUUCUUCGGAGUGAGCGGCGGACGGGUUAGUAACGCGUGGGAAUAUACCCUUUUCUACGGAAUAGCCUCGGGAAACUGAGAGUAAUACCGUAUACGCCCUUCGGGGGAAAGAUUUAUCGGUGAAGGAUUAGCCCGCGUAAGAUUAGAUAGUUGGUGGUAAUGGCCUACCAAGUCUACGAUCUUUAGCUGGUUUGAGAGGAUGAUCAGCAACACUGGGACUGGGACACGGCCCAGACUCCUACGGGAGGCAGCAGUGGGGAAUCUUAGACAAUGGGCGCAAGCCUGAUCUAGCCAUGCCGCGUGAGUGACGAAGGCCUUAGGGUCGUAAAGCUCUUUCGCCAGAGAUGAUAAUGACAGUAUCUGGUAAAGAAACCCCGGCUAACUCCGUGCCAGCAGCCGCGGUAAUAAGGGCGA
rnacentral:rRNA from 1 species